CUUAUAUUUAGGGACGGAAGGAGU
rnacentral:miRNA from 1 species